rnacentral:lncRNA from 1 species
UACAUGGAAGUUCCCAGGCUAGGGGUCGAAUGGGAGCUGGAGCUGCCAGCCUACACCACAGCCACAGCAACUUGGGAUCUGAGUCUCAUCUUCGACCUACACCACAGCUCGUGGCAACGCCGGAUCCUUAGCUCACUGAUCGAGGCCAGGGAUCAAACCUGCAUCCCCAUGGUUCCUAGUCGGGGGUCAUUAACCACUGAGCCACAAAGGGAACUCCUAUUAUGAGAGUUGAAUUAAGGGGGAGAAUGUAUGUGAAAGCCCUUGGUAAGCAAUGGAGUCUUUUUAUUCCAUGCACAUGGCAAGCAGUACAACACUUGGCCAACCAGGGAAGCAUAAUUUCCCUUUCACAGCUCUUCCUAGAAAAAUAGUUAUUUGUAACAGCCACUUCAGAACUCCCUCCAGCAGGGUUUCUCUUUUCUGCUGCCGGUGAAGAAGCUCUGAGCUGAAUUUGGGACUCACCUGCACUAAGGUUGGGGACUCUGGCAUUUCUUCCUACUCUUUCCAGACUCAUUUGGUUUGAUUGAUUUUUCUUUUAUUUACAUGGCCUUCUGCCUUUUUUUUUGCCUUUUUUUUUUUUUUUUUUUUUUUUUUUGCUUUUUUAAGGCUGCACCUGUGGCAUAUGGAAGGUCCUAGGCUGGGGGUUCAAUCGGAGCUACAGCUACCGGCCUACACCACAGCCACAGCAACAUGGGAUAUGAGCCGGAUCUGGGACCUACACCACAGCUCAUGGUACUGCCAGAUCUGAGAGAGGUCAGGGUUUGAACUUGCAUCCUCAUGGAUACUGGUGGGAUUCUUUAGCUCUGAGCCAGGAUGGGAACUCCCUACACUGUGUUCCAUUUUAUGUGUCUUUGGCUUAAAUUCCUUUUGGGGACCUAGCAGGGUAAAGUACAUACUGUAUACAUGAAAAAAAAACUGGUCAUUUUACAAGCAUUUUGUGUGUGUGUGUGUCGGGAGUCUAAAUCACAGCUCACUGGCAACCCCAGAUCCUUAACCCACUGGGCGAGGUCAGUAAUUGAACGCGCAUCCUCAUGGAUGCUAGUUGGGUUCGUUUCUGCUGAGCCACAAGAGAACUCCUUUGCAAUCCUUUUUUCUUUUCUAGGGCCGCACCCAUGGUAUAUGGAGGUUCCCAGGCUAGGGGUCGAAUCCGAGCUGUAGCCGCCGGCGGGGCCACAGCAACGUGGGAUCCCGGCCGCAUCUGUGAUCCUACACCGCAGCUCACCGAGCGCCGGAUCCUUAACCGGCUAAACGGGGCCAGGAUCGAUCCCGCAACCUCAUGGUUCCUUCUCGGAUUUGUUAACCACUGAGCCACGACGGGAACUCCUCUUUCGCAAUCAUGUUGAAUGCCAAUGUUCUGUUUGCGACUUAAGCUGGGGCGUUGUGAAAUACAAUACAGUUGAGAUGAACCACAGGAAGCUUCCCAGCACCAAACACGGGGUUUGAAAAGGGUUCGGCGAGUGCUAAUUUCAUUUGAAAUUCAUCAGACCCCUCCAUACUCAGAGGCAUUAAGUAGCUGUAUAGGUCUGCUACCGGGAUUCAACCCGCUUCAACCCGCUUUCCUCCCGGCGUCUUUUGCUAGAACAGUGGAGCAAGAGUGCCGGUGGCGGAGUAGCAUGUAGGCAGGGCAAAGACCGAGCUUGCAGAACCCGCUCGUAAACUGCGGGGGAGACAGUGGGGUUCCUGGACAAGGGGAGACAUUUUCAAACGGAAAGAAAGCGAUGGGCACAGGGGUUUUGUUGUUCUUUAAGGCAUAGAGGGAACUCCACUUACCUACCGAGAAGGAGAAGUGGAGUGGUCCCAGACAGACUGGGGGAUGGGGAGGGAAGCGAGCGAGCAAGAUUGCAGCCCUCCGGCAGGGUGCGCUCCGCGAUCAAAGCGCGUUGCCUGCACCGGCUCCCACCGCCCUGAGUGGUGACCAGGGCGGGAGAAGGGAAGCGCGGUGCAACCGGCACCGGUCCUUCGACGAAAGGCCGCUUGCAUCAACUCGGACGCCCAUCGAGGUGGAGUUUUGCCGGCUCGGGGGCGCCACUCGUCCGGGGCUUCCGAGUCACUCAGACGCAGUUCAAAUUCCAGUUCUUUGAUCGCCCCACUUUGUCUCAGCUUCCCUGUCCUAAAAGUAAGGCUAAUAACGGUACCAGUCAGUUGUGACUAAUAAAUGGCACAAAGUAAACAAAGCGUUUAGCCCCAAGCUCGUACCCAGUGCCGUAAGCCGGGACUGUGGUCAUUACUGUCACCUUUUCGGCCUCUCCAGGGCGUGGUGACCCGUGGCGGUUCGGCCUCUCCAGGGCGUGGUGACCCGUGGCGGUUCGGUUCGUGGCGGUGAGGUUCAAUCAGCGCCAAACGACGACAAGGUUGCAAAGACCGACAGCGCC